ACCUCUUAAUAAAUGAUGUUCAGAGUUCAAAAUAAUUUUUUAAUGAUUUUUAGUGAUGAAUAAGUCCUUUGAACAUGCAACACAAAACAAAUGUUCAUAAGGAAAGUGCUGUUUGAGCAAUAGUUUUGUAAAAAUUGUGAAAAAUCGAAAUAUUGGAAUUUUCCAGUGAGCUCAGUUGGGUGUAAAAGCUAACUCAAAAUAUCAUAUUUCAGAAAAAGAAUCACGAAUUUUGGUUAAGAAAUGAGUGAGGUAUGACAGUUUAAAUUCAGGUAAAGAAAUCUGGCAGAUUGCAUACAUGAUGAUUGGUUAGAAAAGUGAGUUUUCAUCAUUUCCUUAAAUAAAUCUUUUGAAAUAUUUUAAAUAUAUCAUGAUAAACUCAUAUUUUAGUCAUGUUUCCAGAGAUCAAAAUAUUAAAACUUAUAAAAAUGUAUACACGCAUUUAUGAACAAAAUUUUGUUUCUCAAAAACUCUUAACUUGAUUUUGAUGUUUUAGUCCUUCAAAUCGAUUUUUGCACUAAGAUCAUGAACAUGAAACCUUUUUUAUCAUACAUGCCUGGUGUUAGAACACAUCCAUGAUGUUCUAAAAACCAUUUUAACAAAAAAAAACAAGUUUGAAGAAGAUGAAGGAAAUGCAAGAAAAACCUUGAAAACAUGGAGGAAAAUGAAAGGAAAUUGUGUUCUACCUUAAUGAACACCACUAGAUGAUGAAGAUUUGAGUUUGAGGUGUGUUCUUGGACUUAUUCUAUAGAAAAUGUCGUGGGUAUAGAGAAAUGAAGAGAGAAAAUGGAGUGGUGUUUCGAGAAAAAAAAUUAGAGAGAAUGUAGAGAGAGUUUGCUAGAGAGAGAAAGAAGAGAGAUGUGUGUGUGUGUUAGAGAAUGAGAGUGUAAGAGAGAUAUGGGGAGAGAGGGAUCCGAAUUUUUGAGUAUAAUACCCAUUUCUCAUUCAUUUUCUUUUAUAAAAUUUAAGUUCUUUUAUAAAAUAUCUCAAUUUUUAUCUAAAAUGUGCACUAAAAUCAAGUUUUUAUUCAUAAAACCUUAAUUUUUGAUUUAUAAAUUAAGGGUAAAUGUUAAUGAGUUAAAUUUUAUUUUCCAUGAAUGCAUUUUUAUAAUUUUAAUUAUUAUAAGAUCAUAUUAUAAGGUUCAAGACUAUUUUUAUAGAAUUGUUAAGGUUAAAUUUCAUAAAUUUAGGUUUUUAGGGCAUUUAGGGUUUUUAAGAGUUUGUAAAUCUUUGGAUAUCAAAAUCAAUAGAAUCUUUGAGAUUUAAAUUUAUAUUAUGGUAUUAUAACUCUUUUAUAGUUAUAAUAAUAUUUAUAACUUAUUUUAUUGGCUUAUUGGCAUUCUAUGUAGUGGUUUUGAGAUUCAAGCAAAAUUGAGGAAUCAAGUAUACUAGUCCUACUCUUCAACUUUGACUUAAGUUUCUAUGUGACUUUGACCUAAUAUCUACCACUAGGUCAAGUGCAUGAGAUGUGUAUAUGAUUCAUGAAAUGGUGUUCAAGUCAAAGAGUCACCCAAAUAUGGAUAGCCUCUAUAGUUAAGUAGUAGUAGAAUUCACAUACCAAUGUGAAAUCCAAGCAUAUUAUCCAUUGUUUCUAACAGGUUAUAUCUUAAGAUCUAGUUACUAAGUCUAGUAUGUGUUGUGCCUAUAUGUGUAACUAAUUUUAUUCAAAUCUAGAACCGACUCGAAUUUUGACGGUUGUCACAGUCUCCCCCGGUUGAAAAAUUUCGUCCCGAAAUUCAAUUCGUGACACAUUCUAUUAUUACUCAGCUGAAUACAAUUGUAUAAUUGGAGAGGUGGUGACUUGAAGAGCUCUUUUAUUAUUUUGGGUUAAUUCCUCAAGGGAAGAGCCCAACUCUUUAGCUAUAAUCAAAUUAAUGUUUCCCUAAUUCGAGUCCUACAGUCUAGAUUGCGAGAAAUUAGGAUUAAGGAAAUCAUGAUCCAACCAUGUUGACCUAGUUGAAAAAGAUUAUCUAGUUAGAUAUUAUUUGAAUUAAGAGAGCGGUAUAAGCUUUGCUGAAUCUCCAACUGCACUCAACGUUAAAUCAAAAUUGAUGCUUAAGUCGCACUCUAAAUUAGCACUAAGUGUAAAUUUACCACCUAAUAAAGAAGAGAUUAGGAACAAUUUGUUCACUUCUGGGUUAGCUAUUACCUCUGGAAAAGAUAUAUUUCGAAAUAAGAAGGGGUAGCACGAAUGAAAGGGAAGCGAUCGAGGGUAAGUUCCUAAAAAUACGUAGUUAGGGUAGGCAACGAAGUUUUGGUACAUCUCAAAUGUAAAGGCUAUUUAAGUGUCGUCUACAAAAUAAAUUACGAAAUGAUUGAGGAUCUCCGAGGCUAUAAUUACUACUACGGUUACUCUUACAAUAAUAGAACUAUAUUCGAAGAGUAUAUAUAAUUAGAGAGUCAUUGUUUCUAAUGAAGGCGGUGAAACUUUAUGAUAAAUUAAAUCACAUUGUGUAGAUAGCAUUUUAAGUGCUUAGAAGUGAUAAAAAUCUCACUGUUAUCAAAAUGUGUGUUUAGAAAUGAUAAUUAAUCUCACUAUUAUCAAAAUGUGUAAUAAUUCUAUGAUAAUGAAGAUACAUAUGUGGCGAUCCAACAAAGUAGUGAAAUAAUAUAAAGAUUAAUUAUGGUUAAAGGUUUAAGUCGUCAUUAAAGGAAUUUGUGUAGAAAUAUUUGUAUUAACUUUCGAGAAAUUGUCCAAUUGUCAAACUCAGGACAAAUUCAAGUUUAUAAGGAGUAGAAUACUUAUGAAAACAAGUUUGAGAGUUUAGGAACUCACUGAAAAUUGCAAAGUAAAAUACUAUUUUAAGAAAGGUGUAAAAAUAAAUGUCAGUCUUUGGAAAUAGUGCAUUCAUAGUUUAGUGUUUCUACAAAAACAAUCAUUUAGAGAAUAUAUAAUAGUAAAAUUCAAGACUUUUGAUGUAUUUAAAGAAAAGAAGAAGCAUUAGAAAAUGUAUUCCUUCACAUAUAUUUUAUGGAUUUAGAAAAAUGAUAAGAACAAUGGUAUUCAUCUUGUCUAUUAAUUGUAACAAAAAUACAAUGAAAAUUACAUUUUAAAUCAAGUUUCCGACUUUAAAACGAAAGAGCAAAUGUAAAUAAGGAUUACUUGUUUAAGAGUAGAUUUCAAAAUAUAAAUAAAAAGGAUAUGAUAAAUAACGUAUUUGAAUAUGUCAAAGUUGACUAAAUCAAAAUUAUUCUUCAAGACUAUACACAUAUUAAUCGCUCAAAAAGAAAGGGUAGACUUCUACUCUUUAUGUGUACGAACAUGAUACCACGAGAAUCAAAAUAGACAGAAACAAAGUUAGACAAUGUAUUAUGUUAAUAUUAUGGCGUGCGAGAUCUAAAAUCAAAAGGAGAGCAAGAAAUAAAGUUUGGACGAAAGAAAGAAAAAAGGAAGGUAGCGACGACAAUGAUUGUUAUUGUUAAAAUUAUAAGAACAAUACACAUAUGUAGAUUUAAAACCAGGUUGAGAUAUAUUUCAAACUUUAAUAUUUGAUGUAUAUUAAUGGUUAAAAAGAAAUGCAGAAGUUCUAAAGUGUUUUCUAAGUUUUGUUAAAAAUUCACGAGUUAUCUAUUAAGUUAAACGCCAUUUGUGAAAAAGAAGAAACACUAAAACUUGCAAUUGAAAUAUGACAGUUUUGACCUUUUUGACUGGUGUGCAACAAUGGUUAAAACGGAUAAGUUAAAUAUUUAACGUAUUUAGAUGAAUAACUGUGCAUUGUCAAAAGUACGUCGCUGGAAGUUUAAUAGUGAACACUAAGUUUUGCAAUGCUGUAAGUUUUAUAAACACUGAUUAUAAAAAAAUAUGAAAUAAAAUAAACAAAUGAUGUGUGUUGGAAAUUUAGGAAUUAGAGAUAUCUUAGAAACAUGUGUGAAGUAGAAAGUUGUGAAAAGAUAAUGUUGGGAUUCAAGAAAACACAUUUAAGUAAGUACAAUGCUUAAAUGAGAAAGUAGUCAAAAGACUUAAAACAAAAGUGGUUUGAAGAUCCGAUGAAGCUUUUUCACAUAAUAUCAACUUUAACAUCAUAUGUUUAAGUUUUACAGCAUAGAGUUUAAGCACUUUUUAUAAAAGAAAAUGUUUCUAAGUUUUUCGAAAACAUGCCAAAAUGGUAAGCAAGGUUUAAAAUGGUUUAUAUGCCCUUAAAAGCACAUAUAUCCAUUGAAAUGGAUUUGAAAUGAAAUUGAAAUAGCAAUGUUAAAAACAAUAUUGGUUAAAUUGAGUUUUGAAGAAAAGUGUUAAGUUAAAGCAAGUUGUAAAAAGAUUUUUAGCGAGAAUAUGGCUUACAUUGCUAGGAAUUGUCAAGUAAGUUGUAUGAAGUGGUUAUAAAGUAUUUUAUCGAUUAUAAAUAAAAACGAUGAAACAAACUAACUUUUUGAUGGAAGAUUAAGAAAUAAGGAAUAAGCAUGUUAGUGUAGUUGAUCGUACCUAAAUACUAAGGCGAGUACAAGGCAAGUCUAAGGCCAGUACCGGUGUCUUUUCCCCAAGAUAAAGAACAAGAAAAAAAAAUUAUUUGAAAAAUGUUUUAUGGUGUCAAUGCAGUUUCACCGCCUUUUAAAGAGGUCAAAGGGACAUCCUAUGUUAAGUUUUAAGCUCAAGGUGGAAACAACGUAGAAUUAAAUCGUAGCAUAUUAAUAAGGUCUCAUGUAUGGGUAGCAAUGGGUUAAACCUCUGUGUCUCCUCGUGAGUCGAAUCUGGAAUGUCCGCUAAUGGUAUCCAAAUGAUUACUUAGUGGCAACUCAUCUACCUCCUUACGCGAUGCUCCAAUUAUCAUUUGCGUCGAUAUCGGAAUGUUUUUUUCUAGUUGUAACUCUAGUACGAAGACGAUGAUGAGGUAUUGAGGAAUAAUUGGUAUAUGUUUCGACUUAAGAUUAUUACUAGUGUAUAUCUUGCUACUAACCUUAUAUCUAAAGUCAAUAGCUACCGAGGAAUACCCAUUCUCAGUACUAAGUGCAUUGCUCCUAGAGUGGCUAGUGAUAUAACCUAAGUGGUUAACCUAACACUUGAUAAGGGACAAGAAUAUUUUCUAAAUAAAGGCAUUGUUAUAAUAGUGCACUUAGUUUCUAAGUAUAUCUAGAUGAAUGCCUAUAAUAUGCACCCGUACGCACACCGAAAAAUUUUGUUUUUCAAAGUUGAAAAUUGUUUUGAACAUAAUUCUAGUAUAACCGUUUCUAGCCUCACAUUAAGUUUCCUUAAUUAAGCAUCGUUGCCAAGGCUAUACUUAAUUAAAGUCCAAUAAUGCGUACUCGAAUUAGUUAUACCAGUAGUAUGUUCAGUAUUUAAAAAAAAACGUUUAGAAAUUUUUUGGCUAUAGUUGUGGUUUUCCAAAGGAAAACCGGUAUUCUAUAUAACCUUCAGCUCUGAUACCAUUUUCUGUCACACCCCGCUAAAGCGGAAACUCGAGGCGUGGCAGUAUAAAGGGUUUCAUAGCAAAAGUUAAAACACAACACCAACAAUAGUAUUAAAAAUCAUUACAAAUUUACAAUGGGUUUGAACAACUUUUAAAAGAAAUUACAAUGAAAAUAGAAAUGCAACACAUGCGAAUGCACCUAAAAGUGAAGUGUCACUAAGUGCCACUUACUCGAUAAUUCCUGAAAAAGCAUGUAAAACGAGCAUCAACUAUAAAAAUAGUUGUUGAGUACUCACAAAUUUAUAACAUAAUAUAGUUUAAAAUUCAAAUAAUAGUUUUUCGGGACAUGCUUUUCCACCCCAAAACAUAAAAACUGAAAAUAGGGGAGUGCGUGAAUACUAACAAUAUGCAUUGAGAUGAUGCAAAUGGUGCCUUGACUAUGAUCUACUCGUACCACAAUCAAUUCUUACAAUAAUGGUAUUCGCUAGUGAGUCUCGAAUCGAAAUCUAACACUAGUAUACUUACUACUACAAUAGAAUUAUGCCAAUAGUGUGUCAAAAUUUAAUAUUGAUAAGUUACAAACAUUUUUCUGUGAAAAUUUAAUUUCAAUGAAUCAAUUGUUAUAUAACAAUUUAAGUGGAAAAUUCUCAUUAUUGAAAUGCUAAUAUUUAACAUCUUAAGAGUCGUUCUAAUGGUUAAAUAUUCUAAAAAUAAAUCAAUUUAGUUCUAAAAUUCAUGAAAAAUAGCAAUCAGUUAACAAAAUACACCAAACUUUUUAUAAUACCACCACUACACAUAAUUAAUCUGAUAAAAUAUAAAAAUGGAUUUUAAAACUAUGUAACCCAAUUUUAUGAUUUUUAAUCAUUUAUUCUAAUAAAAAUUGAAAUAAAUAGAAACCAGUUUCCAAAACUGCCCAAUAUUUUUGUAACACUGUUAUUAAACAUUAUUAAGCUCCGAAAAAUAUAAAAAUGAAUUUCUAAAUUGUUUAACCCAAUUUUAUGAUUUUUGAGCAUUUAUUCUAAUAAAAAUUGGGUUUAAGUGUAUUUAAUCUUGGGAAAAUAGAAGAAAAAUAGUAUACAGAAGAGCAAAAUCAUCAAAAUUUUAUGUAGCCUUCUAAUUUACUACAAGGUGUUCUGGUAAAUUUGCAUAAUUUUUGGAUGAGUAAAACUAUUUUUCCUGUUUUUAGUCCAUUAUAAAUACAAAAAUCGGAGAAAAAUAGGAAUACAUUAUGAAAUAUUCUGGAAAUACUUUUCUAAGCCUUCCAUGGAGAGUAUAAGCUGCGAAAACUAUUAGAUACCAUUUUUAUAUUCCCUAAUAUGGUUUUAUGAUUUAUUAGAGCUAAACAAAAAGAAAUUUCAAAACCAUAUUAAAUAGUAACAAAAAUGGAUGAAACUUAAUGGGAGACGAUUAGUAACUUCAAGGAUCAUCCAAGAAUUUUUCCAGAAUUUAUUUACUAGUUUAAGUAUUUUAUAUGAUUUAAAACUAUAUUUUCUUAUUAUUUUCAUGUAAAAAUAAAGAAAAUGUAUAUUGAGCUGAAAAUUUCCAGAACACAUCUUCAUACACUUUAAUAACAAUGAAAAAUUGUUUUCUUAUUUUUGAUGUCGAAAAACAUGCCUAAAGACUUUGAAACAUGUUCCAAAGACUUUGAAAUCAAUAUCUUCUUGUACCUCUUAAUACAUGAUGUUAAGAGUUGAAAAUAAUUUUUGAAUGAUUUUUAGUGAUGAAUAAGUCCUUUGAACAUGCACCACAAAACAAAUGUUCAUAAGGAAAGUGCUGUUUGAGCAACAGUUUUGUAAAAAUUGUUAAAAAUCGAAAUACUGGAAUUUUCCAUUGAGGUCAGAUGGGUGUGAUAGCUAACUCAAAAUAUUAUAUUUCAGAAAAAUAAUCAUGAAUUUUGGUUAAGAAAUGAGUGAGAUAUGACAUUUUAAAGUCAGGUAAAGAAAUCUGACAGAUUGCAUGCAUGAUGAUUCGUUAGAAAAGUGAGUUUUCAUCAUUUCCUUGAGUAAAUCUUUUGAAAUAUUU
rnacentral:lncRNA from 1 species